GAUGAACGCUGGCGGCGUGCCUAAUACAUGCAAGUCGAGCGAACGGACGAUAAGCUUGCUUCUCUGAUGUUAGCGGCGGACGGGUGAGUAACACGUGGAUAACCUACCUAUAAGACUGGGAUAACUUCGGGAAACCGGAGCUAAUACCGGAUAAUAUUUUGAACCGCUUGGUUCAAAAGUGAAAGACGGUCUUGCUGUCACUUAUAGAUGGAUCCGGGCUGCAUUAGCUAGUUGGUAAGGUAACGGCUUACCAAGGCAACGAUGCAUAGCCGACCUGAGAGGGUGAUCGGCCACACUGGAACUGAGACACGGUCCAGACUCCUACGGGAGGCAGCAGUAGGGAAUCUGCCGCAAUGGGGGAAAGCCUGACGGGGCAACGCCGCGUGAGUGAUGAAGGCCUUCGGAUCGUAAAACUCUGUUAUUAGGGAAGAACAUAUGUGUAAGUAACUGUGCACAUCUUGACGGUACCUAAUCAGAAAGCCACGGCUAACUACGUG
rnacentral:rRNA from 1 species